AUACGGAGGGUGCGAGCGUUAUCCGGAUUUAUUAGGUUUAAAGGGUGUGUAGGCGGGAGCCUAAGUCAGUGGUGAAAUCUCACAGCUUAACUGUGAAACUGCCAUUGAAACUGGGUUUCUUGAGUAUAGUUGAGGUAGGCGGAAUGUGUAAUGUAGCGGUGAAAUGCAUAGAUAUUACACAGAACACCGAUUGCGAAGGCAGCUUACUAAGCUAUUACUGACGCUGAUGCACGAAAGCGUGGGUAGCGAACAGGAUUAGAAACCCCAGUAGUCC
rnacentral:rRNA from 1 species